rnacentral:rRNA from 1 species
CAGCAGCCGCGGUAAUACGGAGGGCGCGAGCGUUACCCGGAUUUACUGGGCGUAAAGGGCGUGUAGGCGGCCUGGGGCGUCCCAUGUGAAAGGCCACGGCUCAACCGUGGAGGAGCGUGGGAUACGCUCAGGCUAGAGGGUGGGAGAGGGUGGUGGAAUUCCCGGAGUAGCGGUGAAAUGCGCAGAUACCGGGAGGAACGCCGAUGGCGAAGGCAGCCACCUGGUCCACUUCUGACGCUGAGGCGCGAAAGCGUGGGGAGCAAACCGGAUUAGAUACCCCAGUAGUCCCUGUCUCUUAUAA